GUUGUAAUUGCUGACAAGGGUGAAGAAGUUGAUUUUGAAGCGUCUGGCGCUACGCAAUUAUCAGGCACCAAACCAUCCAAGAAAUUAAAGAUAGAACCAUCUUCUUAAUUAGAAUUUUCGGAAAUUUGAUAUUGAAAUAUAUUUUAUGAACUUUUUAGCACCAGAAUGAGUUUAAGUAUGAAGUUGUUAAGAACAUGAUAUGUUUUGGUUGUAGGAUGUGUUCUUACUUUUUUGAAGUGUUUAUUUUGUGGGAUUACAAUUGACAUUUAUAUUUCAUGUAUGGUUUAAAG
rnacentral:lncRNA from 1 species